UACGAAGGGGGGCUAGCGUUGCUCGGAAUUACUGGGCGUAAAGCGUGUGUAGGCGGCCACGUAAGUCGGAUGUGAAAGCCCCAGGCUCAACCUGGGAAGUGCACUCGAUACUGCGUGGCUUGAGUAUCGGAGAGGUUGGUGGAAUUCUCGGUGUAGAGGUGAAAUUCGUAGAUAUCGAGAGGAACACCGGUGGCGAAGGCGGCCAACUGGACGAAUACUGACGCUGAGACACGAAAGCGUGGGGAGCAAACAGG
rnacentral:rRNA from 1 species